UAUCCGAUAGCAUAUAUUUCCCGCAUGGGUUUUAUAUUAAAGAAAUUCGGUAUGAGAUGGGGAUGCGUUCCAUUAGUUUGUUGGCGGGGUAACGGCCCACCAAGACUACGAUGGAUAGGGGUUCUGAGAGGAAGGUCCCCCACAUUGGAACUGAGACACGGUCCAAACUCCUACGGGAGGCAGCAGUGAGGAAUAUUGGUCAAUGGACGCGAGUCUGAACCAGCCAAGUAGCGUGAAGGAUGACUGCCCUAUGGGUUGUAAACUUCUUUUAUAUGGGAAUAAAGUGGUCCACGUGUGGAUUUUUGUAUGUACCAUAUGAAUAAGGAUCGGCUAACUCCGUGCCAGCAGCCGCGGUAAUACGGAGGAUCCGAGCGUUAUCCGGAUUUAUUGGGUUUAAAGGGAGCGUAGGCGGAUUGUUAAGUCAGUUGUGAAAGUUUGCGGCUCAACCGUAAAAUUGCAGUCGAUACUGGCAGUCUUGAGUGCAGUAGAGGUGGACGGAAUUCGUGGUGUAGCGGUGAAAUGCUUAGAUAUCACGAAGAACUCCGAUUGCGAAGGCAGCUCA
rnacentral:rRNA from 1 species